GUCUACGGCCAUACCACCCUGAACGCACUACAAUCGCAUCUGAUCUCGGAAGCUAAGCGGGGUCUGGCCUGGUUAGUACUUGGAUGAGAGAGAAUUGAGUUUCAUCUUCC
rnacentral:rRNA from 1 species